AUUAAAUUUAAGAUCAAGGAGAAUAUUCCGGAGGAUCAGACUGGAGCCAUUAAAGUCCACAUUCCUUGACAUCAUAAAGGAGGCAUGAACAUUGGCCAUCGAUGAAGCUCUUCCAUCCUCUCUGGUCCUGCACCCUCCUCUCCAGAUGUUGCCACGUCAGCCCUUCUGUCUUCAUCUCCUGUUCUGUGGUUCUUCUCCAGGUGGUUCUCGGUCUGGCUCUCUUCUUCCUGCCCUGUGGGUUCCACGUCAGUGCCUGUUUAGUGAUUUCUUUCUUUCUCCUGAGUGUGUGCCUUAUCCACUUCCAUUUCCUCCUCCGAAUUUGCAUUUCUAUUGGGUCUUGUUUGGUGAGUUCCCACAUGUUGGCGUAAGAGAUGAUGUUGGGCCUAUGUAUGCAUUUAUUUAUUUGUCUUCUAAGUUUACCCUGGUAUAGAUCCUCCGCUUUGCUUGUAUAAUAUAUAGCUUUGCCGUUCAGGAUGAGGAGCUGUUGCGGCCCACCCACUCUCUGGACAAAGCCCUCGGUCUGCUGUUACUGGAAGAGCGGGAGUCGGGUGGCUCUCCUCUUCCCGUUCACGGGUCGCGCAGAGGCUUCCGCUUCCCUCGUUCCAACCUCCAGUGACGCAGACCUCGACGACUCUCAACGGGAGGAUGCUUGAUGAUUAUUUGCUGCUGGCCGACCCAUGUCGCUCAGGGCAGAUGACUGCCAAAUCAGCCACAUCAAGCACAUAUUCCCCACACUGUGUGAGCCAGCUGCCGUUACCUAGGCGGCUAACCUGCAGCUCGAGCUCAAACCAACAAGCAGUCAGCCAUCUGUCAAACGUUUGCGGACGACACAACAGUCAUCAGCCUCAUCCAGGAUGGCGAUGAGUCGGCCUACAAACGGGAGGCUCUCUGGUGCGGCCAGAACAACCUGGAGCUUAACAUGCUCAAAACUGUGGAGAUGACUGUGGACUUCAGGAGGA